CUCAGCUCUUUUUUAAUGUAUUGUGUAGUGGAGUUGCAUAAGUGUUGCUCUCCAUUUUCUGGAGGAUCAAGUUUUGAAAUCAGUGGAAUUAGACUAUGAUAGCUAAAGAGAUGGAGAAAACACCUGUCUCUGGAUUACAUCUUUAAACUAAGGGCAACCGUGAUAUGGCAUUCCUGACAGGGAGACGCAUCCAUGAUGCAUGUUGAUGUAUGCGGAGCUGGUUAGGCUGUUUUCAUGUUAUCCAGAAGUAAACAAAUCAUCGGCCAGAGCGUCAAGUGUGCGGUCAGAGAGCGCUCCGAGAUGGGUGGGGCUAAAGCUUAAGAGGGUGUGAACGAUGCUGAAUGGGUGUAGACAAAGAAGAGCUCUUCACUAGAUACCAAAACAUUCAACGGCGAUUUUCCACAAAAGGACUCCUGAGAAAACCAGCAAACCAGGCUGUCAUCUUGGGAAACAGUGGAUGUAAAGAAUCUAGCUAGCUAAAGCAUUUACUGCAAAUUUAAUGUACAAUUGUGUAAGCUUGCCUUGCCGUGCAAUGCAUCUGAAGUAACAUAGCUAGCUAACUAUUUACUUGCUUAUUGUGUAGUGGAGGAUAAGAAGACCUGUAUGCUUAUGGAUGUGUAGCUAGCUAUAAUAUGUAGCCGAUCUGUGUAUGGACCCUAAAACGUUAGGUUCUGAAGUAAUAUUCAUACCAAUCUAUGAACCUCAGCUAUCAUAGUUGUUGUAUCAACUUCAAGUCUGAAUGGCAUUAAUGAAGCCUAUGAAUUGAGUAGAAUAUAAUAACUUUAUUGUGCCAAGGAUGCAAGUCCUAUAUACAUGUACUGUAGUUAUUUCCACGCAUGAGAUUCCCACAUUGUAGCCUGUACAUUAAAUAUAUAUUCACUGAUCAUGUAUUCUUCCUUGGCAAAUAAAAGGUGCGGUUCAGGUAUGAAUCUCUGAGACAUUCUUUU
rnacentral:lncRNA from 1 species